rnacentral:lncRNA from 1 species
AACAUUUUACAUAAAUUCUUCGUGCUUUUAUAAUAAUAUAAAUAGAAAAAUAAAUAGAUAGAUAGAUAUAGAUAUAAAUAACUAAUACACAAGUAUCAACCCCCACAUCGUAGUUCACAAAAUAUAGCCCCUCACCCACCCGUUGUCGAAGUUCAGCCUUGAAGCCAUUAAUGACCUCAACCACCAUAUGAAAACCUCCAUAGGAUACCUUCUUCUGCCUCCAGUAAAAUCCAACAACAAACUCACCUAAAACUAGCCUUAAACAUCCAUUUAAAAGACCAUUCAAAAAAUAGUUGCAAACUCCAUAAAAAGCAACCCAAAAUCUCUAAUAACUAUAGCUUAAGCCAGCGAAAAAAAGAUGGAUUGGUGGUGUAGAAGGGAUUCAACAAAGGAAGAGGAAGAAAGGAGAGGACAAGUGAAGAUUAGAUUGUCUUGGGUGGAAUUUUACAUUGAAAAUCAAAGAGGAAAAAGAACACAUCACAUAAAAAUACAUAUAAAGACAUAUUUGUAGAACCUUACGGGGUUGUCCAAUUGGUUUGGAGGGUAGUCAUUAUAUGGAUGACGGGGAUCGGAUCUAAUGAUUGUAAA